AUAGCAAAUCCACCAGUUUUGAAUUUUUACAAAAUCGGACUGUCUUUUUCGAUUUUACAUAUUCUGUCCGAAUUUUCAACAAACUGAUUAAAAUACCCUUCGACCUUUUUCAUAAUUUUGUAUUAGAAUUUUUGUAUGGACAACAUACGAAAGUUAAACUUUAUAGAAAUAUAUUUGCAAUUCAUUAUAUUUGUAGAGAUCUGUAUAAAAUUAACCCUUUAAUAUUAUACAUUCGACGCUUCUCUUAACGACUCAAUUUGAGGCAUUUUGAU
rnacentral:lncRNA from 1 species